GAUGAACGCUAGCGGCAGGCUUAACACAUGCAAGUCGAGGGGUAUAGUAGCAAUACUAGAGACCGGCGCACGGGUGCGUAACGCGUAUGCAAUCUACCUUUCACAGAGGGAUAGCCCAGAGAAAUUUGGAUUAAUACCUCCUAGUAUAGUAUCUUGGCAUCAAGGAACUAUUAAAGUCACAACGGUGAAAGAUGAGCAUGCGUACCAUUAGUUAGUUAGUAAGGUAACAGCUUACCAAGACUACGAUGGGUAGGGGUCGUGAGAGGGAAAUCCCACACACUGGUACUGAGACACGGACCAGACUCCUACGGGAGGCAGCAGUGAGGAAUAUUGGACAAUGGGCGCAAGCCUGAUCCAGCCAUGCCGCGUGAAGGAUGACGGUCCUAUGGAUUGUAAACUGCUUUUGUACAGGAAGAAACACCCCGACGUGUCGGGACUUGACGGUACUGUAAGAAUAAGGAUCGGCUAACUCCGUGCCAGCCGCCGCGGUAA
rnacentral:rRNA from 1 species